rnacentral:rRNA from 1 species
ACGGGAGGCAGCAGUGAGGAAUAUUGGUCAAUGGAGGCAACUCUGAACCAGCCAUCUCGCGUGAAGGAAUACGGCCCUACGGGUCUUAAACUUCUUUUAUAGGGGGAUAAAGUGAGGCAUGCAUGCCUUUUUGUAGGUACCCUAUGAAUAAGCAUCGGCUAACUCCGUGCCAGCAGCCGCGGUAAUACGAGGGGUGCAAGCGUUGUUCGGAAUCACUGGGCGUAAAGGGAGCGCAGGCGGAGAUGCAAGCGGACUGUACAAUACCGGGGCCCAACCCCGGACCUGCAGUCCGGACUGCACCUCUUGGAUAGUUCAGGGGCAAGCGGAAUUCCUGGUGUAGCGGUGGAAUGCGUAGAGAUCAGGAAGAACACCGAUGGCGAAGGCAGCUUGCUGGGGACUAAUCGACGCUCAUGCUCGAAAGUGCGGGUAGCAAACAGGAUUAGAUACCCUGGUA